GAAGUAGAAGCCAUCCGCUUCUCACCUUAUGGCGCUUAGUCAAUAAGGUAAGAUGAAUUAUUAAUAUUUAUUAUUGUAAUUUACGGGUGGCGUGUGCUGCCCGUUUUUAUUUUGU
rnacentral:sRNA from 1 species